rnacentral:rRNA from 1 species
GAUUUCGGUCAAAUCAUGUGGCAUUCGAGUGGCGGACGGGUGAGUAACGCGUGGGUAACCUGCCUUACACAGGGGGAUAACACCUGGAAACAGGUGCUAAUACCGCAUAAGCGCACAGGGCCGCAUGGCCCGGUGUGAAAAACUCCGGUGGUGUAAGAUGGACCCGCGUCUGAUUAGCUUGUUGGCGGGGUAGGGGCCCACCAAGGCGACGAUCAGUAGCCGGCCUGAGAGGGUGGACGGCCACAUUGGGACUGAGACACGGCCCAAACUCCUACGGGAGGCAGCAGUGGGGGAUAUUGGACAAUGGGGGAAACCCUGAUCCAGCGACGCCGCGUGAGUGAAGAAGUAUUUCGGUAUGUAAAGCUCUGUCAGCAGGGAAGAAAGAAAUGACGGUACCUGACCAAGAAGCCCCGGCUAACUACGUGCCAGCAGCCGCGGUAAUACGUAGGGGGCAAGCGUUAUCCGGAAUUACUGGGUGCAAAGGGAGCGUAGACGGUGAUGCAAGUCUGGAGUGAAAGGCGGGGGCCCAACCCCCGGACUGCUCUGGAAACUGUGUAACUUGAGUGCAGGAGAGGUAAGCGGAAUUCCUAGUGUAGCGGUGAAAUGCGUAGAUAUUAGGAGGAACACCAGUGGCGAAGGCGGCUUACUGGACUGUAACUGACGUUGAGGCUCGAAAGCGUGGGGAGCAAACAGGAUUAGAUACCCUGGUAGUCCACGCCGUAAACGAUGAUUACUAGGUGUCGGUGGGUAUGGACCCAUCGGUGCCGCAGCAAACGCAGUAAGU